rnacentral:rRNA from 1 species
GACNAACCAGAUCAAAUUAAGAUAAACACAGUGAAAAAGGAGGUUAUAGGAGAACAAUUAAUUAAACUUAAUUUAUUUCUUAAAAGAUUACGAUUCUUAUAGAGGUGGAAUUUGUAGAAGAUGUAUAAUCUAUUGCUUUUUUUUUCCUUGAGGCCUCGAAACCUUGAUAGAAAACCGGGAUUAGAUACCCCGCUAUUCAAGGUAUAAAUAUUAAUUUAAAACGCUUUACUAGAGUAUUACGGGCCCUAAAUUUUAGUUUGUAACAUAAGCCUAAAACUCAAAAAACUUGGCGGUGCCUUAUAUCCUUUCAGGGGAACCUGUUCUAUAAUCGAUAGUCCACGAUUUACCUUUCCUUUAUUUGAUCUAAUUUCAGUCUGUAUACCGUCGUCGUCAGAUUACCUCUUAGAGUUAAAAAGUUAUCAAUCAGAGUAGUCUUGAAAAUAUUAUGACAUAGAUUUAAUAUUAUUAAUUUUCUCUAAACGUCAGAUCAAGGUGCAGCCAAUGUAAAGGAAGAAAUGGGUUACAAUAAAUACUUUUUAUACGAAUAUCUUUUUGAAAAUAUAAGUUUAAAGGAGGACUUGAAAGUAAUUAGGGAACUAGAGAGUCCCGGUGAAUGCGGCCCUAAGGCGUGC